UUCGGGUUGUAAACCGCUUUUAGUAAGGAAGAAGGGGAGCUUGCUCCUUGACGGUACUUGCAGAAAAAGGACCGGCUAACUACGUGCCAGCAGCCGCGGUAAUACGUAGGGUCCGAGCGUUGUCCGGAAUUAUUGGGCGUAAAGAGCUCGUAGGCGGUUUGUCGCGUCUGCUGUGAAAUCUGGAGGCUCAACCUCCAGCCUGCAGUGGGUACGGGCAGACUUGAGUGGUGUAGGGGAGACUGGAAUUCCUGGUGUAGCGGUGGAAUGCGCAGAUAUCAGGAGGAACACCGAUGGCGAAGGCAGGUCUCUGGGCACUUACUGACGCUGAGGAGCGAAAGCGUGGGGAGCGAACAGGAUUAGAUACCCUGGUAGUCCAAGGGCGAA
rnacentral:rRNA from 1 species